rnacentral:rRNA from 1 species
GGUUCAUUCAAAUUUCUGCCCUAUCAACUUUCGACGGCUGGGUCUUGGCAGCCAUGGUGACAACGGGUAACGGAGGGUAAGGGCUCGACCCCGGAGAAGGAGCCUGAGAAACGGCUACUACAUCCAAGGAAGGCAGCAGGCGCGCAAAUUACCCAAUCCCGACCGGGGAGGUAGUGACAAUAAAUACUGAUACAGGGCUCUUUUGGGUCUUGUAAUUGGAAUGAGUACAAUUUAAAUCCCUUAAUGAGGAACAAUUGGAGGGCAAGUCUGGUGCAGCAGCCGCGGUAAUUCCAGCUCCAAUGGCGUAUAUUAAAGUUGUUGAGGUUAAAAAGCUCGUAGGUU